rnacentral:lncRNA from 1 species
GAAAAACAUAAUAGUUAAAAUAAGGAAAAGGGGGAUACAGAGUUUGCAUCUCAUAGUGUAUGAACCUAAGCCCCUUCGGCUCUAAGGAUAUACCACAACAAUAGCAUCAAUCUGACAGUGGUGGUGCAACUGCUGAGCCCAGUAGGUCUUUCACUCACUGCUUGUGGAAGAUGUAGGAUACUGGAUCCAGAAGCAGGUCAGCCUCUGAGCCCUACUCAGGAAGCAGCCAGAUGAAAUGUUUAUCUUUGCCCUAGUUUGCCACUGACUGGCAGCUCUUCACAGCCUGUGGACUUCCAUCUCCUCCAUGAAUUUCUAAAGUGUCAGUGACGUGGUGGGCACUGGGUAUAUUUGAUGCCUCACAGUAUAGGAUUAGUCAUGACAACUUACUAUGUUUCAUCCUAGCCAGGAGACUUGGCUGGCACAGAGCUUUCUUCCUGUAACCAGAGCAGUAUAACUUCUUUUUGGGGUGCCAGGCCUCUAAUCAGUGACUAUUUUGGCCCAUCCCUUUCCUCUCCCACCACUUGCAUGUUAGGUCACCCACAGGGCUCUGCCGUCUCCAUUGUGCCUGUCUCCAGGCAUGGCCCCUGAGGGAUACACCAUCCUUCCUAAUGUGGUGGCAUGGGACAGUCUGCCCAGAUUACCCAGAAUGUGUCAAUAUGUGUGCAGCUCCCCAGAAUGACAGGUAGAGGGGAAAGCAUAUUUUUGCAACUGCUUCAGAGGAACUCACUGAACCUUGUUUUUUGAAACUGGCUGUUUUCUUUGCCUAACAAGUGAAAAAAAAAAAAUAAAUAUGGGUGUGAUUCACUCUCUUCUGACCAUAUUUUGUUUCGGUGGCUUCUGUCAAGGGUAAGGCACAGCCCUGAUGCAAAGGAAGAGAGAGUGACUUCUACAUCACUCCUCUUAGGUCAGCUACAUGAUGAAAGUGUCAUGCUGUUAUAAAUGCAAGGUCCUUAUGAUUUUUGGACUAUUUCAUAUCUUUUCUCUGGCUUGACAGAUGCAAUGUAUAGGUUUGAGCAAGCAAAGGAAGGUCGUUGUCCUGUACCUUACUGCACGGACUCCCAGUGUCACCAAAGAAGAAUGGUAACAGACAUUAUCUGUAAGCAUGGAGCAACACCCCUGCUUACCAGGCUUACUCAGUAACUGCCCAUCCAGCAAUUGCAUGCUGCCAGACUCAAGAUACCAGAAAACAUCCACUCAGUGCCAAGGAGCACCCUGCAGAUGUUCCUGAGAGCCAGCAGCUCCAGGAGACAAGGUGGGGCAAAGCUCUGCAUGGACAUAUCAAAAGAAGUAUGGAAGUGCCAUAGCAGCAUCCAUGGAGGCCUGAAGUGCCCUGAGGGACUUGCUAGUGACAACAGCCUUCAGCAGUCUCUUAUCUGGCUCAGCCUGAGGCAGUUUGGCUGCUUCUUCUAGUUUGAUCUCCAUAAGCAAAGCAGAGAUGUCUCUUUGUGGAGCACCACCUCAGCAUCAAGUUCUCACCCAACCUGUUACGUCCUUUAGCUACUGCUUCCUGCGUAAAUAUUGCCUCUCAUGCCACACUGGUGGUGACAUUGCCACUUUGUAAUAUGAAUAUGAAAUACCAGUACUAACCAGAGCUUUUAUGUCCUUUGAAGGAAACAAUAUUUCUACUCUGGAGGAAAGUGCUGCAAAGCCCUUAUGCCUGUCAAGUCUGAGAAAAAUUUUAUGCCAAAACUGUCACGUAGGAAAGGGAAGAAGCACCCUAUAAGGUCAUUGUUUUCAUCAUCCUGAAUAAUAGAAAAAGCACUGUAUCCAGUCCAUCUAGUCUGAAGCUUCUUUGUGCAGCUCUUAAGAUCAAGGCCAGGGAAGUGAAAUGCCUGCUAGCAGCAGCAGCUGCAGCUAAAGCAGUGCUACAC